rnacentral:misc_RNA from 1 species
GCCCAUCAACGCUCUGUCAACCUUUUUACAGAGGAUUGACUUGACGCGGACAAUGGACCUCCGAGCCAGUAAUGGCACGGUGGGCUGAAGUGAAUGGUCGUCGGACGGUAACAGGGAUCGGCGAGUGGUGGGCUACUGCGCAUGCCAAUCCCGGCCGCCAUUUCGACGUAUGGCCUCUAUACCCCAGUCGAAACGAGGGGAUUGUUGUCACAGCAUCUUGUUGUGGGACAAUUUCGGACC